CAGUCGCCGCGGUAAUACGAAGGGUGCAAGCGUUAAUCGGAAUUACUGGGCGUAAAGCGUGCGUAGGCGGUUUGUUAAGUCUGCUGUGAAAUCCCCGGGCUCAACCUGGGAAUGGCAGUGGAUACUGGCAAGCUAGAGUGUGUCAGAGGAUGGUGGAAUUCCCGGUGUAGCGGUGAAAUGCGUAGAGAUCGGGAGGAACAUCAGUGGCGAAGGCGGCCAUCUGGGACAACACUGACGCUGAGGCACGAAAGCGUGGAGAGCAAACAGGAUUAGAUACCCCGGUAGUCCCUGUCUCUUAUAU
rnacentral:rRNA from 1 species